AACGAACUCUGGUAUUGAUUGGUGCUUGCAUCAUGAUUUACAUUUGAGUGAGUGGCGAACUGGUGAGUAACACGUGGGAAACCUGCCCAGAAGCGGGGGAUAACACCUGGAAACAGAUGCUAAUACCGCAUAACAACUUGGACCGCAUGGUCCGAGCUUGAAAGAUGGCUUCGGCUAUCACUUUUGGAUGGUCCCGCGGCGUAUUAGCUAGAUGGUGGGGUAACGGCUCACCAUGGCAAUGAUACGUAGCCGACCUGAGAGGGUAAUCGGCCACAUUGGGACUGAGACACGGCCCAAACUCCUACGGGAGGCAGCAGUAGGGAAUCUUCCACAAUGGACGAAAGUCUGAUGGAGCAACGCCGCGUGAGUGAAGAAGGGUUUCGGCUCGUAAAACUCUGUUGUUAAAGAAGAACAUAUCUGAGAGUAACUGUUCAGGUAUUGACGGUAUUUAACCAGAAAGCCACGGCUAACUACGUGCCAGCAGCCGCGGUAAUACGUAGGUGGCAAGCGUUGUCCGGAUUUAUUGGGCGUAAAGCGAGCGCAGGCGGUUUUUUAAGUCUGAUGUGAAAGCCUUCGGCUCAACCGAAGAAGUGCAUCGGAAACUGGGAAACUUGAGUGCAGAAGAGGACAGUGGAACUCCAUGUGUAGCGGUGAAAUGCGUAGAUAUAUGGAAGAACACCAGUGGCGAAGGCGGCUGUCUGGUCUGUAACUGACGCUGAGGCUCGAAAGUAUGGGUAGCAAACAGGAUUAGAUACCCUGGUAGUCCAUACCGUAAACGAUGAAUGCUAAGUGUUGGAGGGUUUCCGCCCUUCAGUGCUGCAGCUAACGCAUUAAGCAUUCCGCCUGGGGAGUACGGCCGCAAGGCUGAAACUCAAAGGAAUUGACGGGGGCCCGCACAAGCGGUGGAGCAUGUGGUUUAAUUCGAAGCUACGCGAAGAACCUUACCAGGUCUUGACAUACUAUGCAAAUCUAAGAGAUUAGACGUUCCCUUCGGGGACAUGGAUACAGGUGGUGCAUGGUUGUCGUCAGCUCGUGUCGUGAGAUGUUGGGUUAAGUCCCGCAACGAGCGCAACCCUUAUUAUCAGUUGCCAGCAUUAAGUUGGGCACUCUGGUGAGACUGCCGGUGACAAACCGGAGGAAGGUGGGGAUGACGUCAAAUCAUCAUGCCCCUUAUGACCUGGGCUACACACGUGCUACAAUGGAUGGUACAACGAGUUGCGAACUCGCGAGAGUAAGCUAAUCUCUUAAAGCCAUUCUCAGUUCGGAUUGUAGGCUGCAACUCGCCUACAUGAAGUCGGAAUCGCUAGUAAUCGCGGAUCAGCAUGCCGCGGUGAAUACGUUCCCGGGCCUUGUACACACCGCCCGUCACACCAUGAGAGUUUGUAACACCCAAAGUCGGUGGGGUACACCUUUUAGGAACCA
rnacentral:rRNA from 1 species